GACUCAUUCUGCACUCUGGCACAUGACAGUGAGUAGCUGAUGUUUCUGCAGCAGCCUCAGAUCUAUGACAGAGUGACUCCCACAGUGCUGAAACCCUGGGCCCAAGUGAUUCAGCCACAGAGUGUCUAUGCUGAGAGCUAUGGAAAUAAUCAACAAACUGAAGAGACAAGCAACAAUAGCCACCACAGGGAAGUUCAGAAAAAUCUGACUGAUGAAAACAUUUAAGAAAUAGCCUGGAGAAAAUACAAGGAAGAUGAUUCAGGAACACUACAAGCAACUACUGCCAGGACAGAACUCCUGAUUUUUAAUUCCUGCUCAGGCCUGGAUUGGGACUGCUGAACUCCAUUGUGCCUCUGGGAAAUCGACACAAUCCUUGCACCUAUCAUUGAGCAGUUGUGGUGACCAGGUACUGCCCAGGAAGUUCUCUGAGUGCAGAAGUGCUGUAUGGGAAGAAAGGAAAUGUUACACAUCUCAAAACUCUCCACUCACAGAAGAGGCUGAAUGUAUCCUCUUGAACGUGUGGGAUGCAUGUGAAAAAAGCAUCAAGAUUACUCAGCUCCUUGGAAAUUAUCACUGCAACUCUUUUCUCUGCCUCUCUUUUUCUUUACCCUGUCUACCAGAAUGUCAGCAAAUGUCUUCAAAAUGGCCAGCGUGAGGAUUCCACCAAGAUUUAUCAACAAAUGAGCCAGAAAAACCCCACGAUAUGGAAACAGAAAAAGUCUUCAAGAUUUUGCUGGGUUUGCAAUGUGCCAAUUAUUCCCAGAGAAAUGGAAGAGACCUCACAUUUCCUUUGGAACCUUCAGCCUUGCCACAGAAUCUCAGCUUUUUUCCUUCUGCCUUUUAUAUGUUUCUGAAAGCGUCCUAAAAACAUAUGCUUUUAAUCUCCUUUGAGUCAUCAAAGAGUUUAAAACAACACUCCUGAGAGCCUGGGGACAGAAGUGAUGCUGUGCCACCAUGAAAUCUGACAUUUUGCUAAGGCACAAGGAUUUGAGAAAGAAGUCAGCACAAUAGCACUGUCAUCUGUGGCCUUAUUUUUCCUCUUCACAUCAGAUAUCUCAAGAAAUGCAGAAGCAGAGACAAUGCUGUCUCACCCAGCUUUAAUGCUGCUCAUGCUUAUGGUCUGUGAGUUCUCCUCAAAUGCACAUGCCUUUUUUUGGGCUUGGCUUCCCCACAAAGGUGCUAUCUGUAGGUACUGAAUUUUUAAUUUAUUUUUUGUUAGCAUACUAAUUCUUGAGAUUUGUGAAUUUUUAGAGAUGUAAGUAAAUUUAUGCCUAAUACAAUGACUUGACAUAAAAAAAUGAUUGCAAAUAUGGAUUUGGGUUCCUUUCUUUAGUUUUAGCCAAGAAUAAUCUGUGCUAAUUAAGCAAAUGAGUAUGAGAUGGGGUAACCUGUUUCUUUGAUAUGUCUAGGUUUAGGAGUUGAAAUUUUGGAUAGUCACCUCCAAGGCUAAGUAUGAGUAAAAAUGGUAACUGUGCUGCUGAUUUAAGAGGUGGUGUGACAAAUGUGACCUGAGGA